UAGGCGUACGGGUGAGUAACACGUGGAUCAUCUACCUCUUAGUGGGGAAUAACUCUGGGAAACCGGAAGCUAAUACCGCAUAAGCCUGGAAAGGGAAAGCAGCAAUGCGCUGAGAGAGGAGUCCGCGGCCGAUUAGCUAGUUGGCAGGGUAAAAGCCUACCAAGGCAUUGAUCGGUAGCCGGCCUGAGAGGGCACACGGCCACACUGGCACUGAAACACGGGCCAG
rnacentral:rRNA from 1 species